CGGUAAUUCCAGCUCCAACAGUGUAUAUUAAUACUGCUGCGGUUGAAACGUUCGUAGUUGGGAAUUUGUUGUCUAUUAUUGGUCUAUCCUAGUGGUCAGUACUGUAUAUGAAUGCAGCAUUGUCUUGAUUAUUUUUCUACACUUGACUGUGUAUUAUAUUGAAUCAAUCCGUAUACUUUGAAGAAAUGAGAGUGUUUCAAGCAAUUUUAUUCAGGGAUAUAUUAGCAUGGAAUAACACAUUACGACUUCAAUUUGUGUCUAUUGGUUGCCGAGAUGGGGUAAUAAAGAGGAGGAUAAUUGGUGGCAUAUAUAUUGCACAGUCAGAAGUGAAAUUCUUGGAUUUUUGCAAGAUAACCAAUUGCGAAAACAUUUGUCAAGAGUGUUUUUAUUGAUCAAGAACGAAAGUUAAGGGAUCGAAGACGAUCAGAUACCGUUGUAGUCUUAACCGUAAACUAUGUCGCCUAGAAAUUGGCGGGUAUAUAGUAUCAUCCCGUCAGCAACUUAAGAGAAAUUACAGUUUUUGGAUUCCGGGGGGAGUAUGAUCACAAGAUUGAAACUUAAAGGAAUUGACGGAAAGGCACCACCAGGAGUGGAGCGUGCGGCUUAAUUCGACUCAACACUGGAAAAUUUAUCAGGUCCGAACAUAGAAAUGAUUGACAGAUUGGCUGGCUUUUCUUAAUUCUGUGGGUGGUGGUGCAUGGCCGUUCUUAGUUGGUGGAGUGAUUUGUCUGGUUAAUUUCGAUAACGACCGAGAUCUUGACCUACUAAAUAGAUGCAGGAUGUAUAAACAAUCGUGUGAACUUCUUAGAGGAAACAUUUGUGUAAAGUAAAAGGAAGAUUAAGGUAAUAACAGGUCUGUGAUGCCCUUAGAUGUCUUGAGCUGCACGCGCGCUACACUGAAGCACUUCACAAGGAAUUUAUCUGAUUUGAAAAAAGUGGGAAAUCUUAUCCCUGUGCAUCGUGAUGGGGCUUGUUUAUUGUAAUUAUUGAAUAUUAACGAGGAAUCCCUAGUAAGUGUAUAUCAUCAAUCUGUUCUGAUUAAGUCCCUGCCCUUUGUACACACCGCCCGUCGCUCCUACCGAUCGAGUGAUCCGGUGAACACCUAAGACAUUGAGAAGCAAUCGAAAAAUUACACUCAUAGAAAUGCGAGUGAGUCUUAUCACUUAGAGGAAGGAGAAGUCGUAACAAGGUAACC
rnacentral:rRNA from 1 species